GGGAAGGUGGCUCAGUGGUAGAGCGCUUGCCUAGCAUGCAUGAAGUUCUGGGUUCGAUUCCUCAGCACCCCUU
rnacentral:tRNA from 1 species